UGAGGAAUAUUGGUCAAUGGGGGCAACCCUGAACCAGCCAAGUCGCGUGAAGGAUGAAGGUCUUAUGGAUUGUAAACUUCUUUUAUACAGGAAUAAAUUGGGGGACGUGUCCCCUUUUGCAUGUACUGUAUGAAUAAGGAUCGGCUAACUCCGUGCCAGCAGCCGCGGUAAUACGGAGGAUCCGAGCGUUAUCCGGAUUUAUUGGGUUUAAAGGGUGCGCAGGCGGGAUGUUAAGUCGGCGGUGAAAUUUUGCAGCUCAACUGUAAAAGUGCCUUCGAUACUGGCCUCCUUGAGUGUGGAUGAAGUAGGCGGAAUUUGUGGUGUAGCGGUGAAAUGCUUAGAGAUCACGAGUAACGCCGAUUGCGCAGGCAGCUUACUAAGCCACAACUGACGCUAAUGCACGAAGGCGU
rnacentral:rRNA from 1 species